UGGGGAAUAUUGGACAAUGGGCGCAAGCCUGAUCCAGCCAUGCCGCGUGAGUGAUGAAGGCCCUAGGGUUGUAAAGCUCUUUCACCGGUGAAGAUAAUGACGGUAACCGGAGAAGAAGCCCCGGCUAACUUCGUGCCAGCAGCCGCGGUAAUACGAAGGGGGCUAGCGUUGUUCGGAUUUACUGGGCGUAAAGCGCACGUAGGCGGACUUUUAAGUCAGGGGUGAAAUCCCGGGGCUCAACCCCGGAACUGCCUUUGAUACUGGAAGUCUUGAGUAUGGUAGAGGUGAGUUGAAUUCCGAGUGUAGAGGUGAAAUUCGUAAAUAUUCGGAGGAACACCAGUGGCGAAGGCGGCUCACUGGACCAUUACUGACGCUGAGGUGCGAAAGCGUGGGGAGCAAACAGG
rnacentral:rRNA from 1 species